GUCACUACACACACUCUAACCAGGAUGUCUGAAGAACGCAGGGUCUGUAGCAGUGCCCCACAAGUUGAGUCAAAGCCUCCCUCUUCAUCCUCUUCAAUAAGGGAACUGGAAUCUAAAAACUUGCAUCUCAGAAGGAAGUUAAGCUCAGUGGAGGAAGAAAGUGUUUCUAUGAUGCAAGAAAACAGACAACUGAUCAUUGAAUUGGAAGCAGUGAAUCUCGAACUUGCCAGCUCCAAAACCAAAGUCCGGGUUCUGGGUUCCACCGUAGGGUCUAAGACUUCUAGUGUGUGUCAUAUGAAGGAGGAGAUUGAGGGCAUGAAGGCUGAGGUUGAGGCC